CCCGUGCUGUUCGAGAAGGCCAGCCCAGGCCAGUCUCCAGGGCACGGGUGUGACAGCCUUCCUCACAGCUGCUGGGGCCUGGCUCGCAUCACUUCUAACCUCCAAAGACAGAAAGAAGGCCUUGGGAAAGGCAACCGCAGCUGCCUCAGCACCGGCUCCCUUUCCAGCGGGAAACUGCGGGUAAGAAACCCCAGGCUUGUGCUUGCUCCCCGUGGGCCACCUUGCCGCCAGAAGCCAAGAAGACUGCGGUGACCCCAACACAGGUUUCAGCCGUCCCAGCACAACUGGUCGUAGGGAGCCUUCAGCAAAGAGAAAAAAGGCUAAUAAAAGGGAGGAAAGAGUGACGUGCUUGCCUGCCCCUCCCCCAGCACACCCCGUAUGAGGCUGGUCCUCCACGAACCCGGAACUGGACCCCUCCCUGCCGGCAGGUGCUCUGGGCACACACGGUGACUCCGAGGAGACUGGCCAGGGCUACCAUGUGCUCCCUGGGUGACAGUGGGAUUUGGGGCAGAAGCCCAUGGAGCCGGAGACCCACAGUAAGCAUUCAAUAAACAUUUGUUGAUUGUUUUUUUUUAAAGAUGGUAUUACAGGGUUCCAGGGGAAAGGGCCAUGGUACAAAGGCAUCAGUAAGUAAGGCAUCAGUCCCGAGUUCAAACCCCACAUCAGGAUCACUACUGUCAACUUGUCAGUGCAAAACCCACUUUGGAUCCUCUGCUCUCUCCCGCUUACACUCUCCACACCCCUCCAAAAACAGGUAUUGCUCAGUCAUCUAGAAACAGGAGUCCAAAAAGGGCCAUCUGAUAAUGGACUUGCCCCCGCAGAGUGCGCUGGACCCCCACAAGCCGGCUUCCUCCGCGUGUCUGCAACCUGACCAACUGGGCAAGGCUGCCAAGAGACUGAGAAUCCUCCAGAGUUCUGUUCAUUAUCACCUCGCUGGGAGGCCAGCAGGGAGUGCUGGAGAGUCUACCCACGUGAUGCCGGAGCAUCGGCCAAGAACAAAACGUGCUCAUCAACACGGCAAAAGGGCGCCCUCGUGUCCUGGUGUGGAUUUAAUACUCAAGUAACCAAGCAAUUUCCCUUCUGUUUCAAAGACACACCCGGGCGCCUGGGGGGCUCAGUCAGUUAAGCAUCUGACUUCGGGCUCAGGUCAUGAUCUCACGGUUUGUGAGUUCAAGGCCCGUGUCGG
rnacentral:lncRNA from 1 species